rnacentral:lncRNA from 1 species
GCCAGUGUGAACACGGUGGACUGUGAGGGUCAUACACCAUUGCACGACGCUGCAUCUCGGGGUCAUGUUGAUAUCUUACAACUGUUGCUUAACCAUGGUGCCAGUGUGAACACGGUGAACUAUAACGGUGCUACACCAUUGCACGACGCUGCAUCUUGGGGUCAUGUUGAUAUCUUACAACUGUUGCUUAACCAUGGUGCCAGUGUGAACACGGUGGACUAUAGGGGUGCUACACCAUUGCACUACGCUGCAUUUGACGGUCAUGUUGAUAUCUUACAACUGUUGCUUAACCAUGGUGCCAGUGUGAACACGGUGGACUCUAAGGAUGCUACACCAUUGCACUACGCUGCAUUUGACGGUCAUGUUGAUAUCUUACAACUGUUGCUUAACCAUGGUGCCAGUGUGAACGUGGUGAACAAUGAUGGUGAUACACCAUUGCACAACGCUGCAUAUUGGGGUCAUGUUGAUAUCUUACAACUGUUGCUUAACCAUGGUGCCAGUGUGAACGCGGUGAACAAUGAGGGUUAUACACCAUUGCACGACGCUGCAUAUUGGGGUCAUGUUGAUAUCUUACAACUGUUGCUUAACCAUGGUGCCAGUGUGAACGCGGUGAACAACAUGGGUGAAACACCAUUGCACACAGCUGCAUCUCGGGCUCGUGUGAAAUGCAUUAAGGUUUGUUUCUCUCGUGAGGUAGUCAAUGUUCAGCAGCUCAGUUAAUCCUCCCAAUUUUUGGUAGAAAUAGGCAAAGAGAUAAUGCCGCUGAAAAUUGAAUAAAUAAUAUCAGUUUUUUGCAGGGACGGUGGAACGAUGUAUGUGUGUGUGUGGGGGGGGGGAGGACAGAUUUUUGAGCUAGGACCCUUUUCAAUGGGUUCAUAAUCCCCGAGCCGCGCCGUGCGACGGUACUAAUUCUGCACGGCUAAUUAUACCCAGGUAUGUGAAAACAUAGCGGAGUGCAAAGUUGUCCUCCAUUUUGUUUAUGUCAUGGACGGUUUUCGACGUUAUUGGCGUGCGCGAGUGCAAGCUCUGUCGAAGUAAUUGUUUUUCAUUUUGUUUUACAUUUUGUUAAAAAGUUUACAAAAGUACAACACGUUUUUGUUUCUCGGUUUUAAAUGGAAAUAAGCCCGCAAUUUCAUGAAUUAUAGUGGCUGUUCAACCGUGAAACAAAGUUUGUAUAAUAAUUGUUUUGAUGUUGAUAUCUUUGUCCCUUUGAUAAUUUAAUCGUUGUUUUGCCGAUUUGGGUAAGUGUAAACAUUUCAGUAGUAAAAUUUGUGUUGUCGAUUUUAUUCAUAUCUGCAGAAUUUUAAAGCCAUUUUUAACUCGAUAAUUCACUUUAAUGCAAGCUGGUAUGCAUGAAAUUGCAGUGAUUGUUAUCGUUCAUUAUAAAGCUAGCGCAUCAGUUGUGUUGUUAUGUUUGUUUAUAUGUAAUGGUCUUAAUACUUUAUGUGGAGUUUUUAUACUUCAUCUGUUAAGUCUUAAGAAAGGCGAGGGGUUGCUGCAUGCAUGUAUUUUCUAGUUUGUAAUUUUCGCCUGCAUGAUGAAGCGAACAUGUAAUGAUUUUUUAAAUAUCUCAAUUAUUUCCCGAAUAUCAAAAAGGGCACCUUUGCCCCUGUUGGGAAAGGCAAUGCCUCUCCCCUGCACCCCCUCUUCAGCAUCCCUGUUUUUUUUGUAAUGACAUUUGCAGAGCUGUCAAUUCCGAUGGCCUCCUGGUUUUGAGGGCAGCUCAAGGUACGAACGAUGUAAUCACGGUAUGAAAAUGGUUCAUGCCAGUUCAAAGAAUCGGUUUCCACAAUAAAUCGUAUCAUAAAUUUUUCCACACAAAUUUAUUUGGGGGGAGCGGCUUUUGAGCUAGGUCUCCCCUGCCCCCCUUUCGGCGGCACUGGAUGGGGCGUGCCAAUUAAUUACAUAAUGAUCAUGCUUCCCCCCAUUCUGGCAUCACUGUUAUAGUGCUAUUAUAACUUCCAGGUUUUUGAUCAUCUAAAUUUGGCAGCCUCAGAUUUGUUAUACUAGCCAGUCACUAGGUAAACAUUUGGGGGUUUUUUUCCAAUUAAUGAUAUCCUGUAUAAUUCUUGUUUAGGUGUUGUUGAAAAAUGGUGCAAACAUCAACGUGUUGGACAGAGUCGGUAGAACUGUGUGUGAAACUGCAAUGGAACACGAACAUAAAGAAUUAGCUGAGUGUUUAAGAAAUGCAGGUA